AACGAACGCUGGCGGCAUGCCUAACACAUGCAAGUCGAACGAGACCUUCGGGUCUAGUGGCGCACGGGUGCGUAACGCGUGGGAACCUGCCCUUAGGCUCGGAAUAACUCCCCGAAAGGGGUGCUAAUACCGGAUAAUGUCUUCGGACCAAAGAUUUAUCGCCUUUGGAUGGGCCCGCGUUGGAUUAGCUAGUUGGUAGGGUAAAAGCCUACCAAGGCGACGAUGCAUAGCUGGUCUGAGAGGAUGAUCAGCCACACUGGGACUGAGACACGGCCCAGACUCCUACGGGAGGCAGCAGUGGGGAAUAUUGGACAAUGGGCGAAAGCCUGAUCCAGCAAUGCCGCGUGAGUGAUGAAGGCCUUAGGGUUGUAAAGCUCUUUUACCCGGGAUGAUAAUGACAGUACCGGGAGAAUAAGCUCCGGCUAACUCCGUG
rnacentral:rRNA from 1 species